rnacentral:rRNA from 1 species
CAGCCGCCACGGGAAUACGUAGGGUGCAAGCGUUAAUCGGAAUUACUGGGCGUAAAGCGUGCGCAGGCGGUGUUGUAAGACUGAUGUGAAAUCCCCGGGCUCAACCUGGGAACUGCAUUGGUGACUGCAACGCUGGAGUGCGGCAGAGGGGGAUGGAAUUCCGCGUGUAGCAGUGAAAUGCGUAGAUAUGCGGAGGAACACCGAUGGCGAAGGCAAUCCCCUGGGCCUGCACUGACGCUCAUGCACGAAAGCGUGGGGAGCAAACAGGAUUAGAUACCCGCGUAGUCCCUGUCUCUUAUAA